UACGGGGGGGGCAAGCGUUGUUCGGAAUUACUGGGCGUAAAGGGCUCGUAGGCGGCCAACUAAGUCGGAUGUGAAAUCCCCAAGCUUAACUUGGGAACUGCAUCCGAUACUGGAUGGCUUGAAUCCGGGAGAGGGAUGCAGAAUUCCAGGUGUAGCGGUGAAAUGCGUAGAUAUCUGGAGGAAUACCGGUGGCGAAGGCGGCAUCCUGGACCAACACUGACACUGAGGAGCGAAAGCCAGGGGAGCAAACGGG
rnacentral:rRNA from 1 species